rnacentral:rRNA from 1 species
AUGUCUAGCUCGACUUCGGCCUCCCGCCAAUCAUGGACGCAGUACGGUCCACUACCGUUGACAAGAUGCCCCGAUUGCCCGCGCAUGGAGCCUCUGAAGCGUUUGACUUGUGUGAGGGAAGAAAAUGGCAACCGUGGGCGCGAUUUUGUGAAAUGCUUGAGCAAGCCACAGCCGGGGCAGGUUCUGAAGAAAUGUGGGCAUUUUGAGUGGCUCGAUGACUAUGUUGAAAGGUUGAAAUUGGAGGGAUCAACCGGAACCUAA